UACGUAGGGUGCGAGCGUUAAUCGGAAUUACUGGGCGUAAAGCGUGCGCAGGCGGUUUUGUAAGUCUGUCGUGAAAUCCCCGGGCUCAACCUGGGAAUUGCGAUGGAGACUGCAAGGCUAGAAUCUGGCAGAGGGGGGUAGAAUUCCACGUGUAGCGGUGAAAUGCUUAGAUAUGACAUAGAACACCCAUUGCGAAGGCAGCUCGCUACACUAUUAUUGACGCUGAGGCACGAAAGCGUGGGGAUCAAACAGG
rnacentral:rRNA from 1 species